rnacentral:rRNA from 1 species
UGACGUCAAGUCCUCAUGCCUUUAUGACCAGGGCUACACACGUACUACAAUGGCCGGUACAAAGGGCAGCGACACAGCGAUGUGAAGCGAAUCCCGAAAAGCCGGUCUCAGUCCGGAUUGGAGUCUGCAACUCGACUCCAUGAAGUUGGAAUCGCUAGUAAUCGCGGAUCAGCACGCCGCGGUGAAUACGUUCCCGGGCCUU